UGGGGAAAGGGGCGUGGAGCUGUGGUUUGCCCACUUGGGGGGUUGAGGGUUCGGACCUGGGUGGCUGGGCAUGUCGAAAAACCUCUCCAGGGACGACAACAACGUUUGGCCAUUCCCUAUUCCCAAAUUCAAAAUCCCAACUUCCCCAAUUCGAUUCCCAAAUGCCAAAUCUCAUUUCUCUUCUAGUUCUCAGUUUCUUAAAGUUAGAAACUUAGAAAUGUCAAGUUUGAACUUUCAGAUUCGAGCGCCAAAACUCACUACUGGUGUGAUUCAUGAAGCGGUGCAGGUGAUUCUUGUUCUAAUUGUGUUCAUGUAAUCGUGUUCGUUAUAGAGAGCAAAGCCGAGGGUUUUGUGGAAACGUGUUCAUCAGAGAGAGCAGCUAAGCAGAGAGCAGGUGAUUCGUGUUUGUGCAAUUGCAUUCGUGAAUCGCCUCUACGUGGCUUCGCCUGAGCAACUGAGCCCCUCUUCCUAGUUCCCGUCCCGAUCUACUCACCCUCUUCCCUGGAAUUGGUCUUUACAGCUUCUUCAUGAUAAAUUGAGAUCAAAGCAAUUGGAUACUUGAAGCUGUUCCAAAUUUGUGUGGCUGAGACCCGUGUCCGAUUGGCGUUUCCAGCUUGUCGUUCCUCCUCCUAGUCGGCCAAGGGGUGGGGGGCCUUCUGACACUGCCUCCCAAAGGUCUUGGUUUCAAUGUAAGAUUGCCUAAUCAUUCUUCUCGCUGUCGUCGUCAUCACAAUAACUGAAUGGAAGUGGGACUGAUUUGAAUGCUCUGUACUUGCCAACAUUGUUCAAGUGCUCAUUCUCCAACCUGAUUGAAUACGACUUAAAACUCUCAAAUACAGACUAAACAAGAAUGAGCAGCAGGCCUACUUCCCAUAAUUUUUGUUGCACGCUGAAUAUAAUGGUAAGGGAUUACUAGAACACCCUAGGCUCUGGCCAGUGAAAACGAUGGAAAACAUCCAUCCCUACUAUAUGACUGCAUUGAUUGGUGGCAUGUGACAUAAUGGCAAGUAGUUGUACUUUGCUACAUAGGAAUGAGAUAGAAUCAACAUCUUGAUUUAUUUUA